rnacentral:lncRNA from 1 species
AAAAGAAGGUGCAGGCCAACAAUGUAAAGGCAUUGAGUGCACGCGCAGAGGCCAUCGAGGCCCUUGUGAAGCCUCAGGCCAUCAAGCCCAAGAUGCCAAAGGCAAACUCAGCUGUCUGACUUUCAUUGCUCAUCCCAAGCUUGGGAAACAGAUCUGAAGCUACACGGCCAACGGUCGUAGGCUCUGCCAACCAAAGCCUAUGGUUCAAACCAAGGCAGAGGCCAAAGCUCCAAGCUAAGGCCCAGGCUUCUGCUCAGCUCAGGCUCCUAAAGGUGCCCAG